CCUACGGGAGGCAGCAGUAGGGAAUCUUCCGCAAUGGACGAAAGUCUGACGGAGCAACGCCGCGUGAACGAUGAAGGCCUUCGGGUCGUAAAGUUCUGUUGUUAGGGAAGAACAAGUGCUAGUUGAAUAAGCUGGCACCUUGACGGUACCUAACCAGAAAGCCACGGCUAACUACGUGCCAGCAGCCGCGGUAAUACGUAGGUGGCAAGCGUUGUCCGGAAUUAUUGGGCGUAAAGCGCGCGCAGGCGGUUUCUUAAGUCUGAUGUGAAAGCCCCCGGCUCAACCGGGGAGGGUCAUUGGAAACUGGGAAACUUGAGUGCAGAAGAGGAAAGUGGAAUUCCAAGUGUAGCGGUGAAAUGCGUAGAGAUUUGGAGGAACACCAGUGGCGAAGGCGACUUUCUGGUCUGUAACUGACGCUGAGGCGCGAAAGCGUGGGGAGCAAACAGGAUUAGAUACCCUGGUAGUCCACGCUGUAAACGAUGAGUGCUAAGUGUUAGAGGGUUUCCGCCUUUAGUGCUGAAGUUAACGCAUUAAGCACUCCGCCUGGGGAGUACGGUCGCAAGACUGAAACUCAAAGAGAAGUGACGNGNGAGAGCGACGACGACGACGACGAGGAGAG
rnacentral:rRNA from 1 species